GACGAACGCUGGCGGCGUGCCUAAUACAUGCAAGUCGAGCGCAGGAAAUCGACGGAACCCUUCGGGGGGAAGUCGACGGAAUGAGCGGCGGACGGGUGAGUAACACGUAAAGAACCUGCCCUCAGGUCUGGGAUAACCACGAGAAAUCGGGGCUAAUACCGGAUGGGUCGUCGGACCGCAUGGUCCGAGGAUGAAAGGCGCUUCGGCGUCGCCUGGGGAUGGCUUUGCGGUGCAUUAGCUAGUUGGUGGGGUAAUGGCCCACCAAGGCGACGAUGCAUAGCCGAACUGAGAGGGUGAUCGGCCACACUGGGACUGAGACACGGCCCAGACUCCUACGGGAGGCAGCAGUAGGGAAUCUUCCACAAUGGACGAAAGUCUGAUGGAGCAACGCCGCGUGAACGAUGAAGGCCUUCGGGUCGUAAAGUUCUGUUGUAAGGGAAGAACAAGUGCCGCAGGCAAUGGCGGCACCUUGACGGUACCUUGCGAGAAAGCCACGGCUAACUACGUGCCAGCCGCCGCCGUAA
rnacentral:rRNA from 1 species